rnacentral:rRNA from 1 species
CUACGGGUUGCUGCAGUAGGGAAUCUUAGACAAUGGGGGAAACCCUGAUCUAGCCAUGCCGCGUGAGUGAUGAAGGCCUUAGGGUUGUAAAGCUCUUUCGCUGGGGAAGAUAAUGACGGUACCCAGUAAAGAAACCCCGGCUAACUCCGUGCCAGCAGCCGCGGUAAUACGGAGGGGGUUAGCGUUGUUCGGAAUUACUGGGCGUAAAGCGCGCGUAGGCGGGCUAUUAAGUCAGGGGUGAAAUCCCGGGGCUCAACCCCGGAACUGCCUUUGAUACUGGUAGUCUUGAGUUCGAGAGAGGUGAGUGGAAUUCCGAGUGUAGAGGUGAAAUUCGUAGAUAUUCGGAGGAACAUCAGUGGCGAAGGCGGCUCACUGGCUCGAUACUGACACUGAGGUGCGAAAGUGUGGGGAGCAAACAGGAUUAGAUACCCCCGUAGUC